rnacentral:rRNA from 1 species
CCUACGGGUGGCAGCAGUGGGGAAUAUUGCACAAUGGGGGAAACCCUGAUGCAGCGACGCCGCGUGAAGGAAGAAGUAUUUCGGUAUGUAAACUUCUAUCAGCAGGGAAGAAAAUGACGGUACCUGACUAAGAAGCCCCGGCUAACUACGUGCCAGCAGCCGCGGUAAUACGUAGGGGGCAAGCGUUAUCCGGAUUUACUGGGUGUAAAGGGAGCGUAGGCGGCGAUGCAAGUCAGAAGUGAAAGCCCGGGGCUCAACUCCGGGAGUGCUUUUGAAACUGUGUUGCUAGAGUGCAGGAGAGGUAAGUGGAAUGCCUAGUGUAGCGGUGAAAUGCGUAGAUAUUAGGAGGAACACCAGUGGCGAAGGCGGCUUACUGGACUGUAAAUGACGCUGAGGCUCGAAAGCGUGGGGAGCAAACAGGAUUAGAUACCCCUGUAGUC